rnacentral:rRNA from 1 species
GACGAACGCUGGCGGCGUGCUUAACACAUGCAAGUCGAACGAAGAGCGAUGUAUGCUUGCUUCUAUCAAUCUUAGUGUCGUACGGGUGAGUAACGUGUAAUCAACCUGCUCUUUAGAGGGGUACAUCAGUUGGAAACGACUGCUAAUACCGCAUACUGUCGUAUCUCGGCAUCGAGGAUAGAUGAAAUGUGUUUGUUCGCAGUAAGGUGUGAUUGAAGGAGGGGAUUGCGUCUGAUUAGCUAGUUGGAGGGGUAACGGCCCACCAAGGCGAUGAUCAGUAGCCGGUCUGAGAGGAUGAACGGCCACAUUGGGACUGAGACACGGCCCAGACUCCUACGGGAGGCACCAGUGGGGCACAUUCCGCAAUGGACGAAAGUCUGACGGAGCAACGCCGCGUGAGUAAUGACGGCAGUCGGGUUGUAAAGCUCUGUUAAUCGGGACGAAAAAAAAACUUGCGAAUAGUGAGAAGGAUUGACGGUACCGGAAUAGAAAGCCACGGCUAACUACGUG